rnacentral:lncRNA from 1 species
AAGGGCAGUCCAAUCAUCAUAGUUGUUACUCCAAACAUCAUCCAGCACUAUCAAAAACUUCUUUCCAGACAAUUUGUCCUUCAAUCUUUCUUGAAGAACAUUUAAAUCAACAUCUUCACACCUUGCCUGCUCUGAAGGGAAGCGAAAGUGCUGGAGGAUUGUUUUUGUUAUCCUCGGAAUGUCAAAAUCAUCAGAAACACAGACCCAUGCUUUGCAAUCAAACUUCACGCUCUCAUCAUUGUAGACAAGUUGAGCAAGAGUUGUCUUCCCGAUACCACCCAUUCCAAUAAUUGGAAUGACGGAGUACUCAAGGUUGCCAGCAUCAUCGUUCAUCAACAAUUCAAGUAUAGCUUUCUUGUCAUUAUCCCUCCCACAAACAUGGGAUUCUUUGACCAGAGAUGUAGUCAUCCUUUUUUUCACUCCCUUUGACCUCGUGAUUCCCACGUCGAGCUCAUUUUUCUCUUUAGCAAUUGCUUCUAGUCGUGUAGUUAUGUCCCGCAGCCGGGACCCCGUCCUCAUAUUAAGCUCAACAGCACUUGGAUUCAGACCAGCACAACAAGUUGGGAGGAGCUUCCGGACAGUACUGCUGCUGGCUUGAGAUUCUGCCCUCACCUUGCUUGCCAAAGCUUCUGUUUGAAACUCGUCCAGCACGUCCUCCACAUCAUAAGCCAAAUCUCGGAGCUUGGUAAGCCAGAUUGUCACAUUCGAACUUGUGAUUUGAUUCUCAUCUGCAUCAUUAAGAACUGCAUCAAUUUCUGACAGUCUUCGCUUCCACUUGUUAAGUUCUUUCUCCACUUGUGUUUUGCGUACGAAGUUCAGAAGGUCUCCAGAGGUUAACUUUCCAAGCAAAGGCUCAAGAAGAGGCCGAGAGAAAGACUUCUCCAACAACUUCCAUCCUGCUGAAUGAUGCCACAGAUAAGAUCAGAUUUUGGCCUAAACAUUGACGGUACUCUAACUCAAUAAUAAGAAAAAGCUAAAAUCCAGUGCUUCUGCUGUGUUGGGUGGAUGUUUACAUCAUUAACAAGUUAUCAAAUAUAUGAAAAAAUCACUUAAAUUAGCAAAACACAUGUCUGCAAUUUUCUGCAGAAUCAGCUAUGAACAGGGAGAGUUUUCUUUACACUAGAUUUUUCGUUCCCUGUCUUCUCUUUUACAAUUCCAGAAUAUUACAGCACUUUUAUGCUUCCAAAAUCUUAUCGCAUCCUUAUCCUUACACUUGCUCAUUUCAAUCACCACGUAAACUAACUCCAAUUACAUUGACUUGGCAUGCGUUACACUUAUUAAAGUUAAGGUUAUAACAUUCACAGCAUAAACCCCAACAGUAUCAGAAGCCAAUGAACAAAAAAAAACACUGAACCCAGUUUAUGAAACUAAAUAUAGGUUAGGUUAUCAUCGAAGAAUUAUGUCAUCAGCUUUUCAAACUUGCAAAACUACCCAGUAAUGAUAUAGUUUAGCAGAGUUUAAAAGAUGAAAAAGAAACUAGUAGCCAAAUUGUGGCUAGAGAGACCAAACGAUAGAUAUAGCAUUCUUCUGUGCAUUACCUGUUUUACACCGAGCAGCAAAUCGAUCUGUAAGUCUCUUGAAAACGGUAGAUCCGUACUCUUUAGAAAAUAACCUUAGGUACUGUGGCAAAAGAAGAAGGCAAAGAAUGUGAAGGGGAGAGACAGAGAGCACUGAUUGAGGAGCAACUAGUAAAGACAGAAGACACAAAAAUAAAACAAAGGAGCGUACGCAUGGUCUUGGCUUCUUUACAGCACAAAUAAUUGAAAUAAAAUAUUAUAAAAUGGUCAUUGUUGCUGGCUUCAGAAGCUUUUCAAGUUCAACAAUUAUAUUAUAAAACUAAAAUAUGGACCCGCCCUUAUGAAAUUCACUUGUCUCUCACUCUAGAAUUUUACGGUAGCAAUACCUCCACUAAAAAAAAAGAUGUCAGAAAAAAAAAAAAAAAAAAACAUUGAUAAGAUUCCAAUUCUUUUAAUUGCCGAACAUCCGCGUCUUUGAAGCACCAGGAAAGUAUCAAAUGGUCUAAUGGAGUUGAGGACUUGAUAGUCAGCUUAUAGCGGAAAGAAAAUAAAUUUGGAUUUCCUAAGCCUUUAUAUUAUAGCUAUAUUAAUCAUUAUGAAUGCCAAAAUUUUCUUAACUAUUUUAAAAAAUAACAUGCAAAACUAUUUAAAUAGUAAAUUAAACCGAUUUAAUUAAUAAAAUUCAAUUCAAAUAAAAAUCUGAAAUAUAAUUAUGAAAACAAUUUGAAAAUAACAAGAAAAAUAAAUAAAAUUCGAAGUGAACAACUUCUAAACCUAAUUUCGACAUGUUCUUGACCUUAGUUAGUGCUAGCAAAGUUUCAAGACUUGAUACUUGAUAGUACUGUUUAUUUCCAAGCACCCAACAAAGUUUCAAGAUUUUAAAUUGAGGAAACUUGCUAGAAGGUUGCUAGUUGAAAACUGUAAAGGCUACCCGAAGAACCCAUCUUGGCUCUGUCAUAUUCUCCACUAUUAUUCUUUUUAAAAAGUUUAAAGGGGGACGCUAUUUCCUCGCACACAGGAUGUGACUUUGCAGUUUGCACAUGGUGCUGGGGCAUCUCUGUCUUUCUCCGUCCAAUGCCAUUCCAUUGGCUCCAUCUUUCUUUUCCCUCGCCGCCUAUGUCACCAACCUCAAUGGGAAAUGACAUUAAGGCCCGUUUGUUUGCAGGAAAGUGAAUUCUUUUUGGAAAAUGAAUUCCGGAGAAAAUGAAUUUUUGAAAAGUGAAUUCCCGAAAAGUAUUUUUCGAUGUUUGGUAGUGUUAUGGAAAACACUUUCCAGUGUUUGGUUGUGUUAUGGAAAAUAAAUUGAAAAAUAAUUUAUUAAUAAAUUAAUUUUUUUUUUCAAAUUUAUCUAAUAUAUAUAAAAUAUUUAAUCACUUACAAUAAAAAAAAUAAAAUCUAAAAUGUAUAAUGAUGAUUUUUUUUUAUUAUAUUCUAUAUUCAUACAUAGCUUAUUUUAUAAAAUAUAACUAUAUAUAUCAUAUCAUAUUAUAAAGAAAUAAGCUUGUGAAAUAUUUUUUACUAUUCUAUGAAACCAUUUAUAAUUUCAUUAUGUACGAAAUACAUCCGACAAAAACUAUAGUUUUAAUAAUAUUUGUAGCAUGUAAUAAAAUUGGAUAAAAUAUUAAGGUAUAAAAUUCACUCUAAACUAUUUUUUUUUAAUGUUAAAAAAAUAACACACUAAAAAAAUAAAAAUAAAGUCCCCGCAGGCAAGUGAACAGUGCACUAAAACUGUACUGUUCACUAUUUUUUUAGUGAACAGUGUAUGCAAUACACUAUUCAUGUUAAUUGCACUGUUCAAUGAACAGUUACAGAAAAAAACAUGACAACGCAGUAUUGGCCCACAUCAGGAAAGUGUUUUCCGAUAAUUAAAAGCGGAAAACACUUUCCUUAUGUUAAACUUAACAUUUUUCUUUGACUGAAAUUAUAUUUUCUUUGACUCAUUUUCCAUGUAUUGCCAAACAUGAAAAAAUAAGGAAAAUAAUUUUCAGGAAAUUGAAUUCCUGGAAACAAACGGGGCUUAAAUUAUAUGAUUUAGUGAGCUUUUUUUAUGACCGUAUAAAUCUAUUUAUAAUAAAUAAAAUAUGUAUAUUAUCGAAACUAACUCGAAACUAUAAACACCCCUCUGUGAUAUACAAAUGAUUUGUGACUAUCCAUUUACAAAAUCCCUGCUAAGCUGCUAACAAUUAUUUUCAUGGUGGGGCUUGCAUCUCAACGACUUUGCACAUGGUGGUGGGGCUUGCAUCUUUGUCUUUCUCCACGCAUUUCAAUGCCACCGAAGAACCCAUCAUGGCUCUGUCAGAUUCUCCUUCCAUUGCCAUUCCAUUGGCUCCAUCUUUCUUUUCCCUCGCCACUACAGCCAAGGAUGGAGUCUAUGAGAUGAUAUGUAAAAACUUUAUUUGUUUGUUUUCAGUAGACAUUAUUUGCUCUAUUAUUGCAGGGUGUUUAAUCGUAAUGUAUAUUUUAGCUUUUAAACACUGGCGUUGGCCCAUUCUAAGUAUGAUUUGUAAUGUCUUUUAAUAGAUUUAAGACUUGUACAUCUCAUCGUAUACUUCAAAAAAUAUAGAAAGGAUCCCCUUAAGCAGACUACAGGUCUAGGGAAAAAUUUAAAACAUUCUGUAUGGGUCUAACGCCCAUGGUUAGGUUACAAAUGAAAGUAAAGGAGAGCGCAAGAAAUUGCGUUUUAAAAAAAAAAGGUAAAAAAAGAGUGGGUGCUGUUGCCUUCUACCAUUUCUUCUGAAAUAAAGGAAACAAAAAUUUCAAGAAAAAUCUCCUACAGACAAGGGGGUAGGGCAUGCUGGAAAAAUAAUCUGCUGCCAUAAUCCAGAAAGAAGCUAGACAGAAAAGGCCACUCGGGUUCAAAAUCCCAGCCAUCAAGAUUGAACAUCAACUUGAAACCCAUAAUAAACUGAAAUCAAGUAGACAAAAGUUUGACUAAUCCACCUCCACUUCCAAGAAUAUUGCUAUUUGGUGAGCUCAUCGUCUUCGCAUCCCCCGUCCACGGCCACGGAAACCACCUCCCCCACGUCCACCCAUAGCACCUGCAGCAGCUUCUCCCUGUGCGCUUUCAGACUGCAACAUCAUAUAUGAUGGGAAACAAUCAGCUUAAAAACAGAAAUGCAUGAAUAGAGAGGUUCAUGUUAUUUUCAGAUCCGAUUUAACUUGGCACAAGCUCCACAUUUUGAUCUGAUAUGAACAUUAAUACAAGCAUUUAAAACACUUUUUUGAAUGCAGAGUGACAGAAAUAUCUUAACAUGCAUUAUGUUGUAGCAUAUUUCACUAGUACUUUGAAUAACCACGGUAAAUAUAUUAGCUAAAAUAAGUGUGGCAACUUAUUAUACAUAGAAGAAAACCACCAUUAUCCGAGGAACUCAAAAUAAUAUUUCAUUUCAAACCACAGCAAAGUAGGUAUUAACUUUACCUUGGGAUUCUUUACUGUCUCAUCCACACUUAAAAUAAGACAAGCAGCCUCCGUAGCAGCAUUUAUAGCAUUGAUCUGGGUCAAGGAUUUCAAUCACAUACAAGUCAGCAGGCAGAAAUGAAAAGAGCAACAGUUUAAUUCAUCGAUAAUCAGUAUUCAUAAUCAAAUUGUUGAAGAUAGACACGCACCUUCACAACGGAAGGCUCCCAAACAAAGUUUGAAAAUGAAUCUGCAAUUCCACCGGUGUUGAUAUCCACUCCAUACGGUGCACCCUCACCUGUAAUAAAAGCAUUCAAGCAAUGACAUAUGAAACAUAUUUCAAAAGGCAAUUCCAACAAGUUAAAGACCUACCAGAUGGAAGUGCAUGUUUCUGCCUUAUUUUGUUCAGCACAUCAGUUGCAUCAAACCCGGCAUUAUCACAUAGUUGUCGUGGGAUAACCUGCAACAUGAGUGCAGUAUACCUUGUUAAGUUUAUAAUCUAAACCCAUACUUUAAUCUAAAAUGUUUUGUGGUGCAACAUCAAUACAAAAAAAAGGUCCUACACCUCUCAUUUUGUUCACCAGGGAGUGAUAGACUAGCUAACUCUCGCAUGAAAACAUUUGCAUGGAAUGCUCAACAAUGGGAGUUGGAAUCAGCUGUGCUACAUUUUUUAGUUACUUUUCAACCAAGCACAUAACCACAGGGAGGAAUGACGUCAUAGAAGAGGGGCUAACAAAGUAUUGCAUUAGAAAUAUGGGAAAACAUUAUGAUGUGGCUUUUCACCAAUGCAAUAGCAGGUCAAAUACAUAAUCUUUCAAACAUUUUUAAUAUAAACUAAGCAAGCUCGCAAAAUUGAUUCCCUAGCAAAUCAAGAUUGGUAGAUCAUAAUAAAGACGGUCAUUUUCACAAUUUUGAAACCACAUGCAUGCAUGAAGUCCAUGCCACAAAGGUUGAAUAUUUAAUAUUACCACACUUCUGGUUAAUUACCUCAAGGGCUUUUGCAUAAGAGUUGAUAAACAGAACUCAAAAACAAUCAGAACUCAAAGCUGAUACAAAAGGAAAUUUUAUUGACAUCCCACCGGUAAAAUAUUAGAAUUAUCUGAAUACAAAAAAGACAUAUUCAAGAAUGACUCGAAAGAACAUUUAACCUAUUUAAUACAUUUAACUAAGGUUUUAUUCCGUAAACCUAUAUGUUUUGAACGAACUAGUCAAUUUUCUUAAAAAUCCAAAAUUUAACGGUUUUCUCGAAAUCUAAUCCAUAAUAAAACAAUAAAUAAGACUUGAUAAUAAUUCACUAAAUAACCAUCAUUUAUUCAUCAAACCAAUCCGAAAAAUCUAAUAUUACAACUAGGGACAAUUUGAAAUUUAUCAUAUUUUUAGGGCCAAAUUAUAAUUUUCGUAUAAUUGAAGGAUCAAACUAAAAAUAUCAUAAAUUCAUGACUAUAGUGGAAUUAUGUCCAUAAUUCAUCCUCAUUUAUGUCCAGAAUCCCUAAUUAUGUUCCAGGGACCAUUCUGGAAUUUUUCUGAAUUUUUAGGGUCAAAUUGUAAUUUUUAUCAAAUGGAGGACCAAACUAAAAUUGUCAUAAUUAAAUACAUGACUAUACUGAAAUUCUGACCAUAAUUAAUCCUCAAUUCUGUCCAGAAUAUCUCAUUAUGCUCCAGGGACCAUUCUAGAAUUUUACAAAAAUUUUAUGGUCAAAUGGUAAAUUUUGUCAAAUUAAAGGACCAAAUUGAAAGUGUUUAAAAUUCAUAAAUCCUGAUGCUAUACUUGAUCAAACCAAUAUUAUCUUGCUAGGAUCGAACUCUUUUAACAGUCAAAGCGAUGACGAAAUGAAGGUUGUUGAGUUUCAAUUAACAAUUACUGCCUGACGAAGAAAAUUCCUCUGUACAGUGAUGUUUUUUUUCUUGAUAUCAACAAUCUACUAAUAUAAAGUUCUUGUGCGUGUGCAAUGGCGCUCUGGAGUGCCCCAUUUCAAAUGGAAGAUGCUGAAAUCUGAUAAAAAUAUUAAUGCAGAUCCAAUAAAACAAUUUAUUCCCAACCAUUUUUUUUUUGUUUUUCCCCUUAAUCCCAGCUAGGGGAUUAGGUAUAGGAGUACUAAAUUGCUAGAAUGAAAGUGUCACAUAUGCUUUGGUGCUUUUAGGAGACACAGGAAGCAGGUUUCCUACAGGUUGACGUUUUCUUAGCCACAACAAUAACUCCGAGAAAAAAGAGUUAGAGGGAAAAAAUCCAAAUAAAAAAACCACAACAAUAACACAGACACAAAGAGCACAUACAUCCACAUGAACGCUAGAUUUUACGUGGAAAACCACGGGACCAACUCCGAGAAAAAAUCCACUAUAACAAAGGUUUAACAGCAUUUGAUUCUCACAGGAACAAAUUCCUCACCCUUUCCAACAAUAUUAAGUGAUGGAGACUUGAUACUUGCUCAUGAUCACAAAAAAUUAUGUUGGAGUUGCAACUUGCAGGGGUUCCAUCCUGGGCAACAGACCAGCCAAACGUAGUUCCUCAAGUUAAUCCAUUGCUUGCCUAGCAAAGUAAACAAUAAUAAUAAUUAAAAGUCGUUCUCCUUACAGAUGCAUGAGGUUGCAUAGCAUUUUAAGAAGAGGGAGAAAAAUAUGCAGGCAUGUUUAUGCUGUGCAUGACUAUGUGGACUAGUCCAAUCCAAGCAAGCCUUUUAAAGGAUCCAAUUGUUUAUGUAGAAUUUUUUCUUUCUUUUAAUUUUCCUUGUCGUUACAGGAGUGUAUGGAAAGAAAAAAGGACGAGUAAAAGUCCAUUAAUGCGUGAAGUAUGGUGAGGAAGCAAUAAACCUUGGAUGUGAUUAUGGAGCAGAUAAACCAAGAAAGAAUACCUGAUUCUCUGUUUUUUUUUUCUCGUUCAAAUCCUGCAUAACAAAAAACUGAAGAAUCACAAUUUCCCCUUAGGAAGCCAUUUUAGGGAUGGACAAGCAGAAACUAACAACGCUUCAAGAAGGCACUGGUUACAAUCGCUGUCGUUCAACAUUGUCAUCAUUCCAUCGGGCAAUGAUCUCAGAGAAUCAAAAUUUGUAAUCACAAGACUUUUGAGAGAGAGGGGCAAACCUGCUCCUUCAGAAAAGCACUCUAGUUUUCUGCAACCACGUAUUGUCAAGUCUCUGAGCGAUGUGAGGCUGCACAGCCCAUUUGCCAGCUUCCCCAAGUUACUACAGUCUUGCAUCUUACCAGAUAUAAACUUCGGGGAUGUGGGCAAUGAUGGACCAAUACUCUCCUCUCUCUUUCAAGCAUCGUUCCUUCAGAAGAGGGCUGCCACCGAUACGUACACAUCCAAGUGAGAGAGGGAAGCCCUCCCUGGGGAAGAACUGGAGUGUAGGGCACUCAUAAAUGUAUAAUUCUUCAAGGGAGGUGAGGUGUUGGAGGCCUCUGGAUAUCGAUUUAAGAUUCUCCAGAUUAGAGAUCUCAAGAAAAGUUAACGAAGUGGGAAGCAGCAGGCCUUCAUCAUCCGGAAAGCGAUCCACAUCUAUUGUAGAUUCGACUGAGAACAUUUUAAGAGAGGUGAGCAUGCGGAGUCCCCACUCUGACAUUGGCAGUGUAAUUUUGCAACUACUAAUUUCGAGUGAAGUCAGGUUAGGUGGCAAACCCCUUUCCGAUAAGGAAUCCAGACGGUGACAAUUAGAUAUACUUAAAUCUUGAAGAGACUUGAGGCUAUCCAUGUGAGUGGGUAGGGACCUCAACUUUUCACAACUUUUUAUGACAAGAGAGAUGAGAUUUGGCGGCAAGCCCCCUUUGGGGAACCACUUCAACUCAUUGCACCCAAAUAUCGUCAACUUAGUGAGAUGGGAGAGGAAAUGCAGGGGUGGUAAUGACGGUAUUCUGCAAAAUAAAAUAUCAAGUUUCUUUAGAGAGAUAGGAAACUCGCCAGUUUGCAAGGAUGUGGCAGAUAAACUCCAUAGUGUUAAAUGCUCAAGAUUAGAGCGAGACGUCUCCCUUGCAUCACGUUGCAAAAUCCCCUCCGUAAGAGACUCUUGGUUAUCCCAGGAAAUGUUCAAGAACUUGAGUGUUUUUGGCAACUUCCCCUUAGGAAGCCAUUUUAGGGAUGGACAAGCAGUAACUUCCAACUUUUCAAGAAGGCACUGGUUACAAUCGCUGUCGUUCACCAUUGUCAUCAGUCCAUCGGGCAACGAUCUCAGAGAUUCACAACUUGAAAUCUCAAGACGUUUGAGAGAGAGAGGCAAACCUGCUCCUUCAGAAAAGCACUCUAGUUUUCUGCAACUACGUAUUGUCAAGUCUCUGAGCGAAGUGAGGCUGCACAGCCCAUUUGCCAGCUUCCCCAAGUUACUACAGUUUUGCACCGUCAAAACCUCAAGAUUGCGAGGCAAAAUCCCUUCCUCGCCCUCUACCAGCGACACGAGCUGCUCACAUUCAAAGAUCCGUAAACGUUUUAAACUAGAAAGUUUGUCUAAAUCAACCCCAUCUUGCCACAAGUACGUCAAUUCAUUACAACAUACAAGAUCAAGAUCUUCAAGCGCCACCAAGGCCUGCACGAGCUCUUCAUGUAAGCUUACAAGGCCGGAAAUUUGAAUUAAUGUUAAGCUUGCGAGGGAUGUUAGAUCAGGCGCAGCUCUGAGAGCGAGAACCACCCCUUGACAUUUUUGAAUGUGAAGCUUUUUGAGGGAAGGAAGGCAGCUUGGCAAAUCUCCAAUCAACCUCGGACAAUUUAUCAAGGUAAGCUCACUGAGUUUAGGAAAUUUUCCCAGAGUACUUUCAUUGACACCGUCAGACCACAACCAUCGCUCCCACCCCAACAUAUCUUUGAUGUAUAAAGUCUCAAGAGAUUGGAAAUCCUCAGCAUACACUUCUUUCACCCCAUCCAUUCCUUCUAUGCUCAAAUGCCUUAGAGCAGGGAGUUUUCCAACCGAUGAAAGUGAUGUGAUCUUGCGACAUGUAAGAAGCUUUAGGUGCACUAAUUUAGAAUAACAGCUAUCCCCUAUCCAUGAUGGAAACUCGGUACCGCCAUAUGAUGUAACUGAAAGCUUUUCUAGACUUCGGUGAGGCUUUAAUGAGUCGAGGACGUGCAGUUCAUUCCUUUCAUUUCGUAGUGGAUCAUCAAAAUUACUAAUCCACUGCAAGGCUAAGUCACGUAGACCUGUCUUCUCUUUCAGAUUUGCAAGUUCUGCAUCUCGAACAUUCACCUUCUGCAACCCCUCUAUUUUAAGCUGCCCUUGUAAAUGCGAAAGCUUCAUCAACUCCGCUAUCCCAAGCCCUUUUCCUUCUCCCACGAUAAACUUAGGCAACAUGCGAAGAUUUAUCAACUUGCUUAUCUGCGGAGGCAUCUCCUGCAACCCAUGUGUACCUUUAAUAUCAAGGCACUGCAAAUUAAUUAAAUUGACAACACAUGUGGGCAACUCAACAAGCUUCCGGCACCCACGUAACCUCAAAGUCUGCAAGUUGAAGAGUUCAACCAACGAUUCAGGUAAUCUUUUAAUCCAAAGUAUAGGACAAGUUAAGGUAACGUAAACGCUUUAAGGUACCAGUAGAAUCUGGCAAUUCCUCUACAGAAUAACCAGCUAGUGACAAUGCCCUUAAACAUUUUAAUUUUGGCACUAAAUCAUCCAACACCUUGCUAGAUAAGUGAUACCCUGAUAAAUAAGUUGGCAAUGCUAAGAAUGUUCUCAAGUUCUUCAUUUCAGAGAAGACAUCAAAUCUUUGAGAAAUGUCAUGUCCAUGAGAAGUGAAUGAAGAGUGGCGAACUGCAGCAUAUGAUUCCACUGAGCAAGGUUCCUUCUUCCAGUCAUCCAAGUAAAAGCAUAUUUCUCCGCUUACGAACCGAGCAAGAUCACUUAUAAGAUCAUGCAUUAUAAAUCGUGAUAUGUUGCUACUAGAUCGUUGAAAAAACGACCUUGAUGAUAAAUCACGAAAAUAUUCAUGGCCUAAGUCUUCCAUGUGCUUCUUUUUCGUUUUUUGCUUCAGAAAACCCUCUGCCAUCCACAGGGAAACUAGCUCGCCCUCCUCGAACUCAUAAUCUUUAGGAAAGAUUGCGCAGUAAGCAAAACACUGCUUCAAAUGGGAAGGAAGAUGACUAUAGCUUAAUCUCAAAGCUGAAAGAAUGCCACUUUCAGUUUCUGGCAAAUUCCACAUCUCACUGCUCAAAAUAUCUUCCCACUCUUCAAGGUUCUGUUUAUGGCGUAAGAGUCCUCCAAGUGUCUUGGCAACCAAAGGCAAUCCUUUACAUUUUCUCACUAUCUCUUCUCCUAUUUCUUUCAAUUCCAAAUGAGCAUCAAAAUUUCUGGAAUCCAAAGCAUGUUGGGUAAAUAUGCGUAGACAUUCAUCAAAUGAUAGCCUUCCAAAGUGUAAGCACGAACAGAGCCCAUUUUUGAAGCAAUGUCUUCAAUACGAGUUGUGAUGAUGACUUUGCUCCCCCUUGCUCCUGCACUGAAGGGAAGAGAAAGGGCAGUCCAAUCAUCAUAGUUGUUACUCCAAACAUCAUCCAGCACUAUCAAAAACUUCUUUCCAGACAACCUGUCCUUCAAUCUUUCUUGAAGAACAUUUAAAUCUUUAUCUUCACAGCUUCCCAAGUGCUGGAGGAUUGUUUUUGUUAUCCUCGGAAUGUCAAAAUCAUCAGAAACACAGACCCAUGCUUUGCAAUCAAACUUCACGCUCUCAUCAUUGUAGACAAGUUGAGUAAGAGUUGUCUUCCCGAUACCACCCAUUCCAAUUAUUGGAAUGACGGAGUACUCAAGGUUGCUAGCAUCAUCGUUCAUCAACAAUUCAAGUAUGGCUUUCUUGUCAUUAUCCCUCCCACAAACAUGGGAUUCUUUGACCAGAGAUGUAGUCACUCUUUUUUUCACUCCUUUUGGCCUCUGUUCAGCCAUGAUUCCCACGUCAAGCUCAUUUUUCUCUUUAGCAAUUGCUUCUAGUCGUGUAGUUAUGCCCCGCAGCCUGGACCCCGUCCUCAUAUUAAGCUCAAUAGCACUUGGAUUCAGACCAGCACAACAAGUUGGGAGGAGCUUCCGGACAGUACUGCUGCUGGCUUGAGAUUCUGCCCUCACCUUGCUUGCCAAAGCUUCUGUUUGAAACUCGUCCAGCACGUCAUCCACAUCAUAAGCCAAAUCUCGGAGCUUGGUAAGCCAGAUUUUUUCAUUUGGAGUUGUGAAUUUGCAUCUCAUCUGCAUUCUUAAGAACUGCAUCAAUGUCUGACAGUCUUCGCUUCCACUUGUUAAGUUCUUUCUCCACUUGUGUUUUGCGUACGAAGUUCAGAAGGUCUCCAGAGGUUAACUUUCCAAGCAAAGGCUCAAGAAGGGCCGAGAGAAAGACUUCUCCAACAACUUCCAUCCUGCUGAAUGAUGCCACAGAUAAGAUCAGAUUUUUGGCCUAAACAUUGACGGUACUCUAACUCAAUAAUAAGAAAAAGCUAAGAAUCCAGUGCUUCUGCUGUGUUGGGUGCAUGUUUACAUCAUUAACAAGUUAUCAAAUAUAUGAAAAAAUCACUUAAAUUAGCAAUACACAUGUCUGGAAUUUUCUGCAGAAUCAGCUAUGAACAAGGGAGAGUUUUCUUUACACUGCAGAUUUUUCGUUCCCUGUCUUCUCAUUUCAAUCACCACGUAAACUAACUCCAAUUACAUUGACUUGGCAUGCGUUACACUUAUUAAAGUUAAGGUUAAAGUUCUGUAACAUUCACAGCAUAUAAACCCCAACAGUAUCAGAAGCCAAUGAACUGCAAACAAAAAACACUGAACCCAGUUUAUUAAACUAAAUAUAGGAGGUUAUCAUCGAGAGGAUAGUGGCAUCACGAAGAAUUAUGUCAUCAGCUUUUCAAACUUGCAAAACUACCCAGUGAUGAUAUAGUUUAGCAGAGUUUAAAAGAUGAAAAAGAAACUAGUAGCCAAAUUGUAGCUAGGGAGACCAAACGAUAGAUAUAGCAUUCUUCUGUGCAUUACCUGUUUUACACCGAGCAGCAAAUCGAUCUGUAAGUCCCUUGAAAACGGUAGAUCGGUACUC